rnacentral:lncRNA from 1 species
CCGGUUCCCCUUGCGGCCUCUGCCACGGUGGUUCGGGAGGCGGCGCGCGGGCCGGGGUGGAGGUGCACGGAGCCGCGGGCGGGGACUGCUGGCCACCACCGUUCUGACUCCCGCCGUCGGGGCGGGAGCUCGCUCGGUCCAAGGUCCCAGAGCCGGAUCGCCGCCCUUGGACUUUGAGCGGGCGCGUGCGGCGGCCACGUGGGCGAGGAGCGCGGGCCGGGCUGCCUCUCGGGGGUGGCGGCCUUGGUUCCUCCCGCGGGGCUGGGCUUGCCGGGGCCCGGAGCCCGCCGGGAAGAGUUCGGAAAUCACACGUGUCCUUUUUCCCGCUCUGUGCCCUCCUUGUUUAGUGCGUUGCCGGUGGGCGCUUUAGGAAAUUGGUAGGAGGAAAAGCGGCUUCUUUUGAAAAGGUAACCCUUAACAGAGAUGAAAGUGAAAGCCAGGUUUCAUUGGGAAGCCGAUCUGCACCUACCGAGGGCUGUAACUUAAAGCCGCUGUAAACGUGGUAGCUGAUCCUUGUAUGCAAAGGUUUAGGCCCUAAGCUUAGAAACUGUUCCUUGCUUGCCUUCUACCCCGCUCCUCUUUUUCUAGAAUUCUCUUAGGAAUCUCUGGCUUCAUUGAGGACACAGGUGUAAGCAGAAGCUGUGUUCUCAGCUCCAAGAGGCCGACCCCACGAAAGCCUAAGCAGGUGAAUUUCGUAAAGACGUUGACAGUUGGAAAACCUGUGCUUUCAGCACGUGAUAAAUCUGCAGAGUCAGCAGACAAUGAAGAUUUGGCAUUCAAGAACUCCUCAAAUACUUCUCGAUAGUAGCUAUUCAGAGCCUGCCUUGAUAGACCGAACUUGCUCAUAUUUAAAUCAUUAAGAUAGAGGAAAGAAUGUAACAACUUUUUAAAAUGUUUCUUACCCCAUAAAUACUUGAAGAAGAUAUGUUAUAUUGGACCAUGGAUCUUUCUGGGGGGGAGGGGAGAAGAAAGCAAAAGUAAAGUUUAAAUUUACAUUCAACCUUAAUUUGAUUGUAUAUAUUUGUGACCAAAUGAAUUAGUGCACAGUUGACCAUACAACUGAUUAUGCAACAGUGAGUGUAACUGACUUUUCUUUUGGCUAAGCUAAUGAUGACUAAAGAAGGUCCUUCUGUUGCUCUGUCUUCAAGUCAUCAGGGGGUCAUACUACCUAUAUUUUUGAACCAAUAUGAAAUAACCCUUUUUCUUUAUUUUUCUGAGACAAUCUCACCCUGUCGUCCAGGCUGGAGUGCAGCGGUGUAAUCAUGCCUCACUGCAGCCUUGAUCUCCUGGGCUCAAGCCAUCCUCCCACCUCAGUCUCCCCAGUAGCAGGGACAAGAGGUACAGGCCACCACACCUGACUAUUGGCCCUUUUUUUUUUAUUAGCAAUAACAAUAAAGAGCUUUUUUCACAAUUGCCAUCAGCCUCUGGCUCUUGAAGAGAAAUUUAAGCAUGUCAACUGAAUUAUGUUAACCAUGUUUUAGGUGAAGACUAUUUUAUCGAUACUCAAGAGUUGUGAGAAACUUGAAGACACUGAGAUAAGGGAAUUGAAUUUAAGGCUAAUAAGGAUCCCUUCCUUACUUAACACUGAAGUUCAUUUUAGUUCACAGUACAGGCCCUAUGGCCCAACAGAAGGACAAUAACAAUCAAACCUGGACUAAGCCUUAACGGACUGAGUGCAUCUAAAAUGUUGUACCUGAGCCAGGCACAGUGCUUCACACCUGUAAUCCUAACACUUUGGGAGGCUGAGAUGGGAGGAUCACUUGGGGCCAGGAGUGGGAGAUGGGAGAAUCACUUGGGACCAGCCUGUGCUGUAGAGCCUAGGUAACAGAGACACUGUCCCUAUAAAAAAAAUUAGCUGGAGGCCGGGCACGGUGAUUGAUGCCUGUAAUCCCAGCACUUUGGGAGGCUGAGGUAGGCGGAUCACAAGGUCAGGAGUUUGGAGUUUGAGACCAGCCUGGCCAAUAUGGUGAAACCCCAUCUCUACUAAAAAUACAAAAAUUAGCCGGGCAUGGUGGCACGUGCCUGUAGUCCCAGCUACCCGGGAAGCUGAGGCAGAGCAAUCGCUUGAACCCGGGAGACGGAGGCUGAAGUGAGCCGAGAUCGCGCCACUCCACUCCCGCCUGGGCAACAGAGUGAGACUCCGUCUCAAAAAAAAAAAAAAAAAAACUGGGCAGG